AGUAAGGGAACCAAAAUGCCAGCCAGAAUAUAACUAUUAAUUAAAUGUAAAACAAUUUGGAUGAAUUUCUUGUUUUUUAUACAAAGGUGAAAGUUUUAGAAACAAGGCUAUAUAUUAUCCGCAUUUUACAACAUUUCGCAAUGAAACUUUGGAAUAUAUGCUCCAAACGCUCCUCGAGUACCUCAUCGAGUUGCUGUAUGCUGAC
rnacentral:lncRNA from 1 species